AUGCAGGGGCGGCUGGCUGACCGAGCCGCUGCUCCUCUGCUGAUUGCCACCGUUUCUCCCCGCUUGACACCGCCAGCAGCCUCAGCGCUGCCCUUUUCCACACAAAAUCAGCCCACGCUGCGGGGGUGGACGCGGUGGCCUGGAUUCCCCACCUCGCACCCCCUUUUUUUUUUUUUUUUUUCUGUCAGGUUAUUCAGCAGGCGAGGCUGGCUGCGGGGAGGAAGGGGAGGGAAAUGCAACAGCUCCAUGUUACAAGGUUCCUUAAAGAGCAGCCUGGCAGAGAGUCCGGAUUAUGAUGAAGACCACCCAAGUUCACAUUAAAAAAUGCUUCCUGCUGCCCUAGAUGUAAUGGGUGCACAGGAGCUGCCAUCCAGACCAUCUGAUGGAAAAUUAAGUGUGUGCAUCCUCAGCCUUACCCCUUCCCAGCUCAUCUUAGUCCACCAAUUUUGGCUCUAACAUCUCAGGAAGUUGACUGAGAAGCACUAACUCUCCCCAUUGACUUUAAAGGGCAUCUUAAGGUAACCCAAAAUUUUAUUGCAUUAAAUGCCUAAAGCUGAAGUCUGCCCCAAGGAGCCUUGGGAAGUGAUCCAGGUCCUGGGACCCAACAUUUCACCACCUGUAGGGGAUGGUCCAUAGGGGUCCAGCUGCUCCUAUGAGCUCAACUGAGCAGCCAGUUUUCCAAACUCUGAAUAUUGAGCUCCUCUGAAAUCCAGCCCUGCCUUUUUUUUUUAGCAGGAAGUCCUUGGGUUUUGAAAAGCACAGGGCCCUAGUUCACCUACUGAAUUUGAUAUAGGGCAUGACUUACCCAGCAUUGUUUUUUGGUGGCAGAUAUGAGGAUCUGGGUAGUUUAUCCAUUCAGGUCAUCGAGCAAGGGUCCUCGAAAAUUUUGGGUUACGAUUGUUUCUCUCUGUCUAAGGAACAUCCCCAAAAGUCAUAUAGUCGUGCAUCAGCUAAAAUUAAGACAAAACAAAACAAAAGUAAAACUAAACAAAAUAAAACAAAAGUAAAAAAAAAAAAAUCCUCUUUC
rnacentral:lncRNA from 1 species